ACCUAGUAGUACGGAAUAGCCAUUAGAAAUGGUGGGUAAUACUGUAUAAUCCCCGAGGGGGAAAGAUUUAUCGCUAUUAGAUGAGCCUACGUUAGAUUAGCUAGUUGGUGAGGUAAUGGCUUACCAAGGCUAUGAUCUAUAGCUGGUCUGAGAGGACGAUCAGCCACACUGGAACUGAGAUACGGUCCAGACUCCUACGGGAGGCAGCAGUGGGGAAUAUUGGACAAUGGGCGAAAGCCUGAUCCAGCUAUGCCGCGUGAGUGAAGAAGGCCUUCGGGUUGUAAAACUCUUUCA
rnacentral:rRNA from 1 species